rnacentral:rRNA from 1 species
AGUAACGCGUAAACAACCUGCCCUUCGGAUGGGGAUAACAGCCGGAAACGGCUGCUAAUACCGAAUACGAUCUUUUCGUCGCAUGACGGAAAGAAGAAAGGAUGGCCUCUAUACAAAGCUAUCGCCGAAGGAGGGGUUUGCGUCUGAUUAGCUGGUUGGAGGGGUAACGGCCCAACAAGGCGAUGAUCAGUAGCCGGUCUGANAGGAUGAACGGCCACAUUGGGACUGAGACACGGCCCAGACUCCUACGGGAGGCAGCAGGC